rnacentral:rRNA from 1 species
GGCUCAGAACGAACGCUGGCGGCAGGCCUAACACAUGCAAGUCGAGCGAGAACUUCGGUUCUAGCGGCGGACGGGUUAGUAACGCGUGGGAACGUGCCCUUCACUACGGAAUAGUCCCGGGAAACUGGGUUUAAUACCGUAUACGCCCUUCGGGGGAAAGAAUUUCGGUGAAGGAUCGGCCCGCGUUAGAUUAGAUAGUUGGUGGGGUAAUGGCCUACCAAGUCUACGAUCUAUAGCUGGUUUUAGAGGAUGAUCAGCAACACUGGGACUGAGACACGGCCCAGACUCCUACGGGAGGCAGCAGUGGGGAAUCUUAGACAAUGGGCGCAAGCCUGAUCUAGCCAUGCCGCGUGAGUGAUGAAGGCCUUAGGGUCGUAAAGCUCUUUCGCCAGGG